AAGCCAGAUUUUAUUACCGUUGAUGAUUGGAUUGAAAUAAAGAGAAUUUGGGAGAGUGAAAAAAAUAAGCAAAGGAGUGAACAAAAUGCCAAGAAUCGGGUUUCUACUUCUAGUGAAGGGUCUGCGACAUAUGCUGGGGGCUCUAUCAAUAUUGGGGAGCACAAAAAAGAAUGGCACAUGAAUUGGGGACGGAACCGACCUAUGCAGCUACUUUUGAACGCACAUUUCAAAAGAAGAUAAGACAUGGAUUGGCGACCGAGCAAAAUAUGUUAAGGAAAAAUAUGAUGAGCUUUAAUGAG